UUUGCAUUAAGUUUCAGCUUCAUUCUUCUCGGAUUCGGUGUGUCCGAAAAUUCUUCGUCCUUGCAUCAUGUCCAUGAGAAACCGAGUUGGAUCAAUGGUUUACCAAAUAUAAAUUCCCGAACUACAUGCCGUAUGGAGAGAUGGCAUAAGUGAAGGGCAGAUAAGCCACAUGCUUAUUUUCUAGAUUCGGCAAAACGUAGAAGACGAAGAUAAAGAAAAUGUAUAGUGCAAGUGGUGUAUUUGAAUAGAGCCUCUAAUUUUUUGGGUCCCAUUUUUU